CCCCCCUUCGCAGUAACACCAAGUACGGGAAUAUUAACCCGUUUCCCAUCGACUACGCCUUUCGGCCUCGCCUUAGGGGUCGACUCACCCUGCCCCGAUUAACGUUGGACAGGAACCCUUGGUCUUCCGGCGAGCGGGCUUUUCACCCGCUUUAUCGUUACUUAUGUCAGCAUUCGCACUUCUGAUACCUCCAGCAACCCUCACAGGCCACCUUCACAGGCUUACAGAACGCUCCCCUACCCAACAACACCUGAGUGUCGCUGCCGCAGCUUCGGUGCAUGGUUUAGCCCCGUUACAUCUUCCGCGCAGGCCGACUCGACCAGUGAGCUAUUACGCUUUCUUUAAAUGAUGGCUGCUUCUAAGCCAACAUCCUGGCUGUCUGGGCCUUCCCACAUCGUUUCCCACUUAACCAUGACUUUGGGACCUUAGCUGGCGGUCUGGGUUGUUUCCCUCUUCACGACGGACGUUAGCACCCGCCGUGUGUCUCCCGUGAUAACAUUCUCCGGUAUUCGCAGUUUGCAUCGGGUUGGUAAGCCGGGAUGGCCCCCUAGCCGAAACAGUGCUCUACCCCCGGAGAUGAAUUCACGAGGCGCUACCUAAAUAGCUUUCGGGGAGAACCAGCUAUCUCCCGGUUUGAUUGGCCUUUCACCCCCAGCCACAGGUCAUCCGCUAAUUUUUCAACAUUAGUCGGUUCGGUCCUCCAGUUAGUGUUACCCAACCUUCAACCUGCCCAUGGCUAGAUCACCGGGUUUCGGGUCUAUACCCUGCAACUUAACGCCCGGUUAAGACUCGGUUUCCCUCCGGCUCCCCUAUACGGUUAACCUUGCUACAGAAUAUAAGUCGCUGACCCAUUAUACAAAAGGUACGCAGUCACACAGGUAAACCUGUGCUCCCACUGCUUGUACGUACACGGUUUCAGGUUCUUUUUCACUCCCCUCGCCGGGGUUCUUUUCGCCUUUCCCUCACGGUACUGGUUCACUAUCGGUCAGUCAGGAGUAUUUAGCCUUGGAGGAUGGUCCCCCCAUAUUCAGACAGGAUACCACGUGUCCCGCCCUACUCAUCGAGCUCACAGCACAUGCGCUUUUGUGUACGGGGCUGUCACCCUGUAUCGCGCGCCUUUCCAGACGCUUCCACUAACACACAUGCUGAUUCAGGCUCUGGGCUCCUCCCCGUUCGCUCGCCGCUACUGGGGGAAUCUCGGUUGAUUUCUUUUCCUCGGGGUACUUAGAUGUUUCAGUUCCCCCGGUUCGCCUCAUUAACCUAUGGAUUCAGUUAAUGAUAGUGUGACGAAUCACACUGGGUUUCCCCAUUCGGAAAUCGCCGGUUAUAACGGUUCAUAUCACCUUACCGGCGCUUAUCGCAGAUUAGCACGUCCUUCAUCGCCUCUGACUGCCAGGGCAUCCACCGUGUACGCUUAGUCGCUUAACCUCACAACCCGAAGAUGUUUCUUACGAUUCAUCAUCGUGUUGCGAAAAUUUGAGAGACUCACGAACAACUUUCGUUGUUCUGUGUUUCAAUUUUCAGCUUGAUCCAGAUUUUUAAAGAGCAAA
rnacentral:rRNA from 1 species